ACAGCAGCAGCCGCGGGAAUACGAGGGGGGCAAGCGUUGUUCGGAAUUAUUGGGCGUAAAGGGUGCGUAGGCGGUUUGGCAAGUUUGGUGUGAAAUCUUCGGGCUCAACUCGAAGUCUGCAUCGAAAACUGCCGGGCUUGAGUAUGGGAGAGGUGAGUGGAAUUUCCGGUGUAGCGGUGAAAUGCGUAGAUAUCGGAAGGAACACCUGUGGCGAAAGCGGCUCACUGGACCAUAACUGACGCUGAUGCACGAAAGCUAGGGGAGCAAACAGGAUUAGAUACCCCUGUAGUCCCUGUCUCUUAUAA
rnacentral:rRNA from 1 species